rnacentral:rRNA from 1 species
GGGUGGUAAUGCCGGAUGCUCCGACAUGACGCAUGUCGUGUCGGGAAAGAUUCAUCGGUAUGGGAUGGGGUCGCGUCCUAUCAGCUUGAUGGCGGGGUAACGGCCCACCAUGGCUUCGACGGGUAGCCGGCCUGAGAGGGCGACCGGCCACAUUGGGACUGAGAUACGGCCCAGACUCCUACGGGAGGCAGCAGUGGGGAAUAUUGCACAAUGGGCGCAAGCCUGAUGCAGCGACGCCGCGUGCGGGAUGACGGCCUUCGGGUUGUAAACCGCUUUUGACUGGGAGCAAGCCCUUCGGGGUGAGUGUACCUUUCGAAUAAGCACCGGCUAACUACGUGCCAGCAGCCGCGGUAAUACGUAGGGUGCAAGCGUUAUCCGGAAUUAUUGGGCGUAAAGGGCUCGUAGGCGGUUCGUCGCGUCCGGUGUGAAAGUCCAUCGCUUAACGGUGGAUCCGCGCCGGGUACGGGCGGGCUUGAGUGCGGUAGGGGAGACUGGAAUUCCCGGUGUAACGGUGGAAUGUGUAGAUAUCGGA